UACGUAGGGUGCGAGCGUUGUCCGGAUUUAUUGGGCGUAAAGAGCUCGUAGGCGGCUUGUCGCGUCGGAUGUGAAAGCCCGGGGCUUAACUCCGGGUCUGCAUUCGAUACGGGCAUCACUGGAGUUCGGCAGGGGAGACUGGAAUUCCUGGUGUAGCGGUGAAAUGCGCAGAUAUCAGGAGGAACACCGGUGGCGAAGGCGGGUCUCUGGGCCGGUACGACGCUGAGGAGCGAAAGCGUGGGGAGCGAACAGG
rnacentral:rRNA from 1 species